rnacentral:rRNA from 1 species
GCAUAACGCGAAGAACCUUACCAAGGCUUGACAUGCAUCUCUAAGCGCGUGAAAGCGCGUGACCCUUCGGGGGAUUUGCACAGGUGCUGCAUGGCCGUCGUCAGCUCGUGUCGUGAGAUGUUGGAUUAAGUCCCGCAACGAGCGCAACCCUUGUGACUAGUUGCCAGCACGUUAUGGUGGGAACUCUAGUCAGACUGCCCAGAUCAACUGGGAGGAAGGUGGGGACGACGUCAGGUCAGUAUGGCCCUUACGCCUUGGGCUGCACACGUACUACAAUGCCCAGUACAAUGAGAACCGAGACCGCGAGGUGGAGGAAAUCUAAAAAACUGGGCCCAGUUCGGAUUGGAGGCUGCAACUCGCCUCCAUGAAGUUGGAAUCGCUAGUAAUGGCGCAUCAGCUACGGCGCCGUGAAUACGUUCCCGGGUCUUGUACACACCG